GCUGCCUGCAGUUUGUGGUGCAUGUUCUAAAUUUUUAUAUAUUAAAUAUAUGCUCCACGGUUUGUCGUGCUAUGCUAGAUAAGUGGAUGGUUCGAUAUGAUGCCACUAGGUGUCGGGCUAGCUUGUCAUGCUGUUAAUCGCAGCAGCCAUGUCAGGACAAAGUCGGCCUGGCUCAUCUUCUCUCGGGAUGCUGCAAUAGGUAGAGGUGUGACCCACCACAUCCUCUCAUCAACCAUGUCCAAACUCAAACAGGGAUUCAAAAUGAACUUUGGAAACACUGCAAUGACUAAUGUUUGAAGGAGAAAUUGAUCAUCUUGUCCCAAAUGGAUCAGCUGUGCUUCUUCAAAGCGAGAUUUUUGUCAUGGUUGGUCGAAUGAUAGGACAUUCAAUAAUAAAUAAUAAUGACAUUCAAAUUGUCAGCUGUUGUGUUUACUUGAUUUCACUAUAAAAGGUGAAUAUAUGUGUCCAACUAGUGCAAGUUGAUUAUAUUAAUUGUACUCAAGAACAAUAACAUUCAAUUUGAUACAGACUCUGGUUACCUGAUAAGUUUAUGAUUAGUGUCUAUAUGCACAAGGUACUUGGGACAGGGCACAGAAUACGUUCGGCGGACAACACAUCCCAACUGAGUCAUUCUUGACAGAAUUCCCAAGCUGUCCACACGAUGCAUUGAAGCUCUGACUCGGUCCCAUCCAAGAUGAUAUCCUUGUGCUUUUAGUGUCCCUUUCACUAAUCUAUAGCCUGCAUGCGGCCUCCGGUCCUUAAUUCCAAUGAUCAGUUCAUCAAGCUCGGCAUCUGUACAUGAACUGUAAAGUCCGCGGACAGACAAGUUGUUCUCUGCCAUCCUCCUGAACAGUGUGGCAGGAGAUACUCCCCACAGCCUUGAAAUAGUAGGAACCG